CGUUAUAUGGCUAAACUGGUUAAGGCAUUUCAGAUUAUAGGCAAAGAUGCGGGUUUGAGUCCCACUGGAACGG
rnacentral:tRNA from 1 species